CAGGUACCCGAAAAACGUGUUGAAUAUUCAUAUGUGUACAAAUUUAUUGAUUAGGUAAGAAAACAUAUUCAAAUACAUUACUAAACAAAAAUCUAACCAAACAGUUUGGGCUGCGAGAGUAUCGAUCAACCUAUCGAACCGGUUCUUAUUACAGAUUCAAAAAGUUUUUGUCUUUGUGUUGACUUUUUGGAUUCCAGGUGUUCGAAGUAUAUUUCGCCGUUUAUCUGUUACAAGCUUGAUAUAACAUUUUAAAAAAAGAAUCACACAAACAUAUUCUGACUUCUACUUAUAAUAUUUAUGCAACAAAACAUUCUGAGAAGUCCAAAAAUAAAUAUGCAACUUUGUUUACAAAUUUUCACCUGAAGCCGCCAUGUUUGAUUUCGAACUUACAGGUUGAGUAACUAAUUACUAAGCACAUCAGCUAAUGACAUAAGCACUAGUCAUUUGCUGUGCAGGUAUACACAAGACUAUCUUUAAUCUACCACAAACUGUAUGUAUUUUUUGUUCCAGCAUUAUAAUUUUAAGUUAAAGACGAUGUAUUUUAUAGGGGAGAAGUAAAUAGUGAAAUUAUCUCCCUUACUUACUCAGAAUAUUUUUUUCAUAAUGAAUACAGAUCUUCAUUUUUCAAUAGUUAGACCACACAAAAUUAAUACAGCAAAAGCACAGGCACUUGUCUCUGAGAAAGAAAUCCAUCAACUUUAUUAUAUUACAUGUACAAUGCACUUGGCUUACAUUUUUGGAAAUGACAAAUGGUUUUCAGUUUUCCUUCAUAUUUUGAUUUUGGUAAACGGACAGAAAGUCACAGGACAUAAAGUCACAAAUUUGAUAGGACAAAAAGUCAUAAAUAUUUUUUUGACAAUUGUUUGGAUAUAUAUAAGAGAAAUAUCUUGAAAUAUUUACUUUUUAAUACAUAUAUUCAUAUUAAGUUAAUGAAAUUUAUCAUUUUACUUGAAAAAGGAAGAUUUAUUUAGUUUUAAUCAUGCAAAGGACAUAUUUCUUGGCACCAUGAAGCCAUUUAAGUGCCAAUAUAUUUUGACAUUUUACAUUCUUUGACAUUUUUUGAUACAUUUUGCUUACAAAGUUGGUUAAUAUACCAUACUUCAAGAAAAAUACAAAAAUGUUUUUGUAAGAAUAAGCAUUUUUUAUUCAAAGAAAAUAAUCAGAAAAAAUGAAUUGUGACUUUUUGUCCGUGACUUUUUGUCCUGUGACUUUCUGUCCUACAUUCUUUGAUUAUACAGUUCAAGCAAUUGUCUAUACCACUUGAACUUAUUAUCCCAUAAAUCUACAUUGAAUUAUCUACAAAAGGGUGUAUAACAUACUUAUUCUAUGAUAGGAAUCAUUCUUGAUAGGUCAUCCAAGUACAUGUAUGUCAACCUUAAUUAUUUUGUUGAAAUCACAGUCCUAAUUUUGGAGGCCUUCUACAAGUGAUUCAGACCUCAAAAGAAGACGUUAAUGUUUCAUUCACGAUUUUGUAGCUAAAUCGAUGUACAGUUUAGUGGGGUAAUUAAGUGAGGAAUCACAAUAUACUGAAAGCUCACUUCAAAAUACUAAUUGUAUUUUUUUUUUAAAUGCAUGUUUAUAAGUAUUUUGAGUGGAACAGUACAUGUAUAUAGAAAAUAAGAAAUUCUGAGAUAAGUGCCUUUGAGAAUAAGGUGCCAUGUCCCUCUCAAUCAAUUCGUCCCGAAUGAACAUUAAAUAAUUUGCCACUGCAAGGAAGUUGAGCAAAGUUUGAUACCAAUUUUUUAGUGUAACAAAAAAACUAACAUGAUUCAUUGUGAUUGGUCAUCCUAUAUGUUAGUUCCGGUAAAUUAAGUAUCAUUUGUCCAAGUAUCAUUAAUAUUAAAUAUUUUAUUAAAAUCUAGAAUAGAAUACAAUCUCUUUAUAAGCUAUAGUCUUGUGAUUUAUUUGAACUAUUUAAAUAGGUGAUCAUUAAAGAAAGUCUUAAGUACUCUUUCUCAAGUUACUUGCAAAUUUUCUAUAAAAAAUAUUGCUUGAAUAAGUGAAUAAAGAAAUUACUCAUUUAAGUAUUCCCCCUGACUGUAUUAGUGGCAAAAUGAAGUUUUGAUUGGUGUUAUUUGAGUAUUAAAAAGUUCUUGUCUUCAAAAUUCCAAUAGGGAACAUACCUUUUAUAAUUGUAUAAAUAAACCAAUUGUUCAGACGUUUCGGCCAUUGGCCUUCUUCAGUUAUUUAUUAUUCCUCUAAACUACAUGGCUGACAUUUCUUUUUUCAGACAUUGAAAAGAUGUUAUAGAUAAAAAGUUAUUAUUUCUCUUUGCCACCAUGUUGAGGGUCAAUUUUCUCAAAUUCUUUCUUAAAUAAACCAAGUUCAACAUGUUAUGCUGGUCAUUUGAAUUGACUAGAAAAAAAGUUUGUUUUUUUACAAAUUUUCAUUUGUCUUUAAGUGUUGAAUUGUAUCAAAGUAUAACAAGAUCUAAUAUUUAUAGGAUCUCCUAUCAGAUUUGCUUGAAACAAGUUUGGUUAGUUCAUGUACAUGUACAUGAAGUCAUUUAGGAAAAUACCCAAGUUAUUGAAGUUAAUUAUAAUGGGGCAGAGGUAUAAUAAUAUAUCAAACUCAACUUAAAUAUUCAAAAUUGUGACAAAUUUUUUGUUGUUGUAGAUAAACUAUUGCUUCACCAGAUGAAGAUGUAAACAAUGCCUGCAGGUCAUUAUGACCCUCAGACUUCUUACAAUGGUGAUGAUUCUGCAGCUAGCAUUCUAAAAACAGUACAAGCACAGGUAAGUACUAUUAUUAUACCUUACAUAUAUUACAAACAAUUCUAUUGGAUAACAACUUAUCACGUGACAUGGAAUAAUUCGGUUAAUUUUCAUGUAAUUGCAUGGGAGGACGAAUAACCCUUAAAAUUUACACCAACGGUGAAUAACCCUAUUAUUCACCGGCGAAUAACCUUUUUAGUGUCUAGAUUUGCACUCGAGUUACCUCCCAUGCAAAUGACGUCACAGACGUAAAUAAACAAGAUGGCAGCGUUCACGUUACACUGACAGCCCAUCGAGAGACGAGGAAAUAAGGCUUUGGAAAUGAAUAGAGUGCCAGCAGCCGAUGUUAUCUCCUCUAAAUGGUCCUUUUCAGGGCCAUUAAUAUUUUACGAAAAGAUUCUACCUUUGUUGUACAUCCGAGAAAUUCUAGAACACAAACAUGACAAAUAUAUUUUCCUGAGCUAUUUUCAAACGUCAGCUUGUGUUUGUUAUGUAAAAAAUAUAGUGUUCAAAAUGCCCUUCCACUGUUUAUUCGGUAUAAUAAAACAAUUGUGGCCCCAUAGAAUCGAUGAAUAUCCAAAAUUGUCAACCCUUAAAAGUUAUUUCACUUCGGGCUGCGCCCUCAUUGAAAUAACCUUCUCGUGUUGACAAUUUUGGAUAUUCACCUUUUCAACGGGCCAUAAUUGUAUAAUCUACACAUAUAU
rnacentral:lncRNA from 1 species